CCAGAGAUGGAUUGGUGCCUUUCGGGAACUCUGAGACAGGUGCUGCAUGGCUGUCGUCAGCUCGUGUUGUGAAAUGUUGGGUUAAGUCCCGCAACGAGCGCAACCCUUUAUCCUUUGUUGCCAGCGGUUAGGCCGGGAACUCAAAGGAGACUGCCAGUGAUAAACUGGAGGAAGGUGGGGAUGACGUCAAGUCAUCAUGGCCCUUACGAGUAGGGCUACACACGUGCUACAAUGGCGCAUACAAAGAGAAGCGACCUCGCGAGAGGCAAGCGGACCUCAUAAAGUGCGUCGUAGUCCGGAUUGGAGUCUGCAACUCGACUCCAUGAAGUCGGAAUCGCUAGUAAUCGUGGAUCAGAAUGCCACGGUGAAUACGUUCCCGGGCCUUGUACACACCGCCCGUCACACCAUGGGAGUGGGUUGCAAAAGAAGUAGGUAGCUUAACCUUCGGGAGGGCGCUUACCACUUUGUGAUUCAUGACUGGGGUGAAGUCGUAACAAGGUAAGCGUAGUGCU
rnacentral:rRNA from 1 species